AACGAACGCUGGCGGCAUGCCUAACACAUGCAAGUCGAACGAGACCUUCGGGUCUAGUGGCGCACGGGUGCGUAACGCGUGGGAACCUGCCCUUAGGUUCGGAAUACCUCUCCGAAAGGGGUGCCAAUACCGGAUAAUGUCUUCGGCCCAAUGAUUCAUCGCCUUUGGAUGGGUCCGCGUUGGAUUAGCUAGUUGGUAGGGUAAAAGCAUACCAAGGCGAAGAAGUAUAGCUGGUCUGAGAGGAGGAUCAGCCACACUGGGACUGAGACACGGCCCAGAAUCCUACGGGAGGAAGCAGAGGGGAAUAUUGGACAGUGGGGGAAAGGCAGAGCCAGCAAUGCCGCGUGAGUGAUGAAGGCAUUAGAGUUGUAAAGCUAUUUUACCCGGGAUGAUAAUGACAGUACCGGGAGAAUAAGCUCCGGCUAACUCCGUG
rnacentral:rRNA from 1 species